rnacentral:antisense_RNA from 1 species
UCUGUCCCUGAAAGGCCAGAACAAACUGCCUCCUAGGGUAACACUAAGUGCUACUGUCAUUUGAGACAGACGUGUGCACAGACAGCCCUAGCCCACAGGAUUGUAGGUCCUCAGCGGAUGAAUGAACUGGCUGUUUGCUGGGUGCCGGGAAGAUGCUUUGGAGCCACUCAUAGAUGGACCUGCAUGGGGACUUGCUUUUCCAGGAGAGAUGAUUGAUUCACCAUGCUGACAUGACCACUCUCCCACGUGGUCUUCCUAGUGAUCAGAUGGGGUAUCUGAAGGUUCAGAAACAGAUCAAAGAAAAUGCUGUGCACAUGGAGUGAAU